GAUGAACGCUGGCGGCGUGCCUAAUACAUGCAAGUUGAGCGCUGAAGGUUGGUACUUGUAUCUAUUGUAUGAGCAGCGAACGGGUGAGUAACGCGUGGGGAAUCUGCCUUUGAGCGGGGGACAACAUUUGGAAACGAAUGCUAAUACCGCAUAACAACUUUAACCUCAAGUUUUAAGAUUGAAAGAUGCACUUGCAUCCACCAACGAUGAUCUCGCGUUUUAUUAGCUAGUUGGGGAGGUAAACGCCCUCCAAGGCGAUGAUACAUAGCCGACCUGAGAGGGUGGUCGGCCACAUUGGGACCGAGACACGGCCCAAACUCCCUCGGGAAGCAGCAGGAGGGAAUCUUCGGGAAUUGGCGGAAGUCCGACCGAGCAACGCCGCGGGAGUGAAGAAGGGUUUCGGAUCGUAAAACUCUGUUUGUAGGGAAGAACGUUGGGGAGAGUGGAAAGCGCAUCAAGUGACGGUAACUACCCAGAAAGCGACGGCUAACUACGUG
rnacentral:rRNA from 1 species